GCUGGCGGCAGGCUUAACACAUGCAAGUCGAGCGGGGUGAUGGUGCUUGCACUAUCACCUAGCGGCGGACGGGUGAGUAAUGCUUAGGAAUCUGCCUAUUAGUGGGGGACAACAUUUCGAAAGGAAUGCUAAUACCGCAUACGUCCUACGGGAGAAAGCAGGGGAUCUUCGGACCUUGCGCUAAUAGAUGAGCCUAAGUCGGAUUAGCUAGUUGGUGGGGUAAAGGCCUACCAAGGCGACGAUCUGUAGCGGGUCUGAGAGGAUGAUCCGCCACACUGGGACUGAGACACGGCCCAGACUCCUACGGGAGGCAGCAGUGGGGAAUAUUGGACAAUGGGCGCAAGCCUGAUCCAGCCAUGCCGCGUGUGUGAAGAAGGCCUUAUGGUUGUAAAGCACUUUAAGCGAGGAGGAGGCUACUUUAGAUAAUACCUAGAGAUAGUGGACGUUACUCGCAGAAUAAGCACCGGCUAACUCUGUGCCAGCAGCCGCGGUAAUACAGAGGGUGCAAGCGUUAAUCGGAUUUACUGGGCGUAAAGCGCGCGUAGGCGGCUAAUUAAGUCAAAUGUGAAAUCCCCGAGCUUAACUUGGGAAUUGCAUUCGAUACUGGUUAGCUAGAGUGUGGGAGAGGAUGGUAGAAUUCCAGGUGUAGCGGUGAAAUGCGUAGAGAUCUGGAGGAAUACCGAUGGCGAAGGCAGCCAUCNGGCCUAACAC
rnacentral:rRNA from 1 species